AGCACACCUACUUUCAGGAAAAAGAAUUGAGCAAAGACCAGCAAAUAUGUGGGUACCAGGAUCAUCUAUGACCGGAAAUUCCUGAUGGAGUGUCGGAACUCACCUGUGACCAAAACACCCCCGAGGGAUCUGCCCACCAUUCCCGGGGUCACCAGCCCUUCCAGUGAUGAGCCCCCCAUGGAAGCCAGCCAGAGCCACCUGCGCAAUAGCCCAGAAGAUAAGCGGGCGGGCGGUGAAGAGUCACAGUUUGAGAUGGACAUUUAAAGCACCAGCCAUCACAUGGAGCACUACCAAGGGGCCCCUCAGGGCCUUCCUGGGAGGAGUCCCACCAGCCAGGCCUUAUGAAAGUGAUCAUACUGGGCAGGCGUCGGCAUGGGGUCGGCCACCCCAGCCCUUUCUCCCUCACUCAGGGCACCUGCCCCCUCCUCUUCGUGAACACCAGCAGAUACCUCCUUGUGCCUCCACUGAUGCAGGAGCUGCCACCCCAAGGGGAGUGACCCCUGCCAGCACACCCUGCAGCCAAGGGCCAGGAAGCGGACAAGAACGAACCCUUCCUUCCGAAUGAUCAGCAAUUCCAGCCCCUCGCUGCUGGGGGCGCAACCACCCCUUCCUUAGGUUGAUGUGCCUGGGAAAGCUCCCUCCCCCUCCUUCCCCAAGAGAGGAAAUAAAAGCCACCUUCGCCCUAGGGCCAAGA
rnacentral:sRNA from 1 species